GGCGGCGUGCUUAACACAUGCAAGUCGAACGAACCUUCGGGUUAGUGGCGGACGGGUGAGUAACGCGUGAGAAUCUGCCCUUAGGAGGGGGAUAACGGCUGGAAACGGCCGCUAGUACCCCAUAUGCCGAGAGGUGAAAUGAAUUUCGCCUGAGGAUGAGCUCGCGUCUGAUUAGCUAGUUGGUGUGGUAAAGGCUCACCAAGGCAUCGAUCAGUAGCUGGUCUGAGAGGAUGAUCAGCCACACUGGGACUGAGACACGGCCCAGACUCCUACGGGAGGCAGCAGUGGGGAAUUUUCCGCAAUGGGCGCAAGCCUGACGGAGCAACGCCGCGUGAGGGAUGAAGGCCUCUGGGCUGUAAACCUCUUUUUAUCAAGGAAGAAGAUCUGACGGUACUUGAUGAAUAAGCCACGGCUAAUUCCGUGCCAGCAGCCGCGGUAAUACGGGAGUGGCAAGCGUUAUCCGGAAUUAUUGGGCGUAAAGCGUCCGCAGGCGGUCUUGAAAGUCUGUUGUUAAAGCGUGGAGCUCAACUCCAUUUCAGCAAUGGAAACUAGAAGACUAGAGUGUGGUAGGGGCAGAGGGAAUUCCCGGUGUAGCGGUGAAAUGCGUAGAUAUCGGGAAGAACACCAGUGGCGAAGGCGCUCUGCUGGGCCAUAACUGACGCUCAUGGACGAAAGCCAGGGGAGCGAAAGGGAUUAGAUACCCCUGUAGUCCUGGCCGUAAACGAUGAACACUAGGUGUCGGGGGAAUCGACCCCCUCGGUGUCGUAGCCAACGCGUUAAGUGUUCCGCCUGGGGAGUACGCACGCAAGUGUGAAACUCAAAGGAAUUGACGGGGGCCCGCACAAGCGGUGGAGUAUGUGGUUUAAUUCGAUGCAACGCGAAGAACCUUACCAGGGUUUGACAUCCUGCGAAUCCCUUGGAAACUUGGGAGUGCCUUCGGGAGCGCAGUGACAGGAGGUGCAUGGCUGUCGUCAGCUCGUGUCGUGAGAUGUUGGGUUAAGUCCCGCAACGAGCGCAACCCACGUCUUUAGUUGUCAGCAUUAAGUUGGGCACUCUAGAGAGACUGCCGGUGAUAAACCGGAGGAAGGUGUGGAUGACGUCAAGUCAUCAUGCCCCUUACAUCCUGGGCUACACACGUACUACAAUGCUACGGACAAAGGGCAGCAAACUCGCGAGAGCUAGCAAAUCCCAUAAACCGUGGCUCAGUUCAGAUCGUAGGCUGCAACUCGCCUACGUGAAGGAGGAAUCGCUAGUAAUCGCAGGUCAGCAUACUGCGGUGAAUACGUUCCCGGGCCUUGUAC
rnacentral:rRNA from 1 species